GGAGAGGUCGCAUAGAGGCCUAGUGCACACGCUUGGAAAGCGUGCAUACCGCAAGGUAUCGAGGGUUCGAAUCCCUCCCUCUCCGCCA
rnacentral:tRNA from 1 species